UUUUGUGUUGCUCACAGAUCUCUCUUCACCUUUUCUCACCUAUCUCGUCAUUUCCUACUGUGAAUGUUUGGGUUCAGUGAAUUUUGAAUGGUUCCAACAGUUCCUCUCCCCCUUUCCAAGACAUCAGCUCCACCUCAGAUCAGCAUCAGGCAUGAGACCCCGGAGGCUGGGGAGCCCUGCUCUCAACACAGAACCCCGUCGCACCUCAUACAUGAUAAAGGAUCACGUCGUGUGAUGGCUGUCUGCCCAACCCCAGAGUAGCAGUCCCAGGAGGGCAGGGACAU